GCGCCCGUAGCUCAGCUGGAUAGAGCGCCGGACUACGAAUCCGUAGGUCGGGGGUUCGAAUCCCUCCGGGCGCACCA
rnacentral:tRNA from 3 species